rnacentral:rRNA from 1 species
UACGUGGGGUGCAAGCGUUGUUCGGAAUUACUGGGCGUAAAGGGCUCGUAGGCGGCCAACUAAGUCGGAUGUGAAAUCCCCAGGCUCAACCUGGGAACUGCAUCCGAUACUGGAUGGCUUGAAUCCGGGAGAGGGAUGCAGAAUUCCAGGUGUAGCGGUGAAAUGCGUAGAUAUCUGGAGGAAUACCGGUGGCGAAGGCGGCAUCCUGGACCGGCACUGACGCUGAGGAGCGAAAGCUAGGGGAGCAAACGGG